CCUACGGGAGGCAGCAGUGGGGAAUAUUGGACAAUGGGCGCAAGCCUGAUCCAGCCAUGCCGCGUGAGUGAUGAAGGCCUUAGGGUUGUAAAGCUCUUUCACCGGAGAAGAUAAUGACGGUAUCCGAGAUGAGCAGAUCCA
rnacentral:rRNA from 1 species